UGAGAAUAUGUAAAAACUAAAACUGCUACUCCUGUCCAAAUUCAAAAGAAAGAACCACCUCUGAUACAUCCAACUACUCUUCAGCUUCAAUUUCUUUGGCCUCUUACUCCUCUUCUUCAUCACUGGCUUCACCGUCCCUUAACUUCUGCCUCUCCAAUUUUUCUUCAUCUUGCAACCGUUUCCACUCAUUGACCCAUUUGUCCCAUUCAUCCUUCAACAUUCUCCUCUUUUCGCGAUCCUGCUCACUCAAUUGCAGUGAAAAAAUCUUGGUCUUCUGCCUCGUACUUCUUUCUAUAUUUCUUCAAAUUGUUAGCUAUGUCUUCCUCCUUUUCAGGACUCAAACAUCUUGUGCCUUACAUUAGAUACAUGCUGGAAAUAAUGCUAUGGAUUUAUUACUUGUAGCCAGAUUUCUAUCUGUUCCGAGAUCCAUUGUUCAUACAAUUCAACUUCUAAAUUCAUGGAAAAAGUGAAUAAAGCAUGCAUCCAAAUCAAAUUUUGAAUAAAGCAUGCAGUUUGUGUUUGUGGUGUGCAGCAUGUUUAAUUCUAACUUCUCACUCAUUCCUUGUCUACGAAAUUAAUUUAGCAUGUUGAUUUGUUCCUUUUUUUUUUUUGUUUCGGUGUGAACAAGCACGCAUGAAAUGACAAUUAAACAUUAAACAUAUAAAUUACGUUCCACGGUUGAAUUCAUCUGUCCCAUUGAAUGUUUGGAAGGUUUGGUUUUCAGUUGAAUAUAGAAGCUUAUGUCUGUAACGAAGUAGACAUCACAUAUCAACCGAAGAUUUCAUUGUCAAUUUUAGCAUUUCAAAAUCCAUGUUCAGAUUCAUCAUUUUGAUACCACACAGUAACUUGUCUCGAGAAAUUCAAAAUCUACAAAUCUCACCUCUUAUCCAGUCAUCCUAACAUUUUAAAAAAAGAAAAACCAAAAAAAAAAAAAAAAAAACAGAAGUGAAAAAAGGGGACGUCACAACUAAAUCUACCAACCUGUUGGUGGGCGAAAUGACAGGCUAAAUCCAGCUUAUUGUUAAUGUUUGCAUAGACUGAAUAAAGGCGCAAAGGCUUCCUUCUAAGCUGCGACAAACACAAAUUAGACACGUAUAUGGUUCCACAACGACAACAAACACCAUAGUAACAACAAACUUCAAGAAAUUAAUAAACAUUUUAGUAAUAUUUAAUAAAAUGUUCCAACUUCCAAGGCACUUUAAAUAGUACAAACUCAAAAUGCCAAAAUAAUCUACCAGGCUAUUGCCUAUUGGAAAAAUAAACAAGCUAACCCCUGCUUGAGCUUACAGUUAAACUUGCAUAAAUUGAAUAGAAUGAAGGGAGCCACAAUAAGUAACAGAAGAACUAUAAGAAAGGCGAUAUACUUAUCCGGCAAACAAAAUUUAAGAAAUUGAUACAGAUCAACAGAGGAGUCAGAUCAGGAAAAGCAUCAACCAUAAGUUCCUAAAACAAAUUCAACCACUGAAACUACAAAUAUCCAACCCGUAGCCAAGCUUUUUGCGUAUCUGCACAACUUCACGCAUCCAAGUUGGUUGCAUUGAACGUAUGAACUCUGGGAAUAUAUAAAAACUAAUAGUCCUUACUCCUGUCCAAAUUCAAACGAAAGUGUCUCUUCUGACACAUCCAACAACUCUUCAACUUCAAUUUCUUUGGCCUCGUACUCCUCUUCUUCAUCACUGGCUUCACCGUCCCUUAUCUUCUGCCUCUCCCAUUUUUCUUCCUCUUGCAACCGGUUCCACUCAUUGACCCAUUUGUCCCAUUCAUCCUUCAACAUUCUCCUCUUUUCACGAUCCUGCUCACUCAAUUGCAAUGAAACAUCUUGGUCUUCCGCCUCGUACUUCUUACUAUAUUUCUUCAAAUUGUUAGCUAUCUCUUCCUCCUUUUCAGGACUCAAGAAGGACGGAGGCCUUGGGCGCCACAAGAACUGGAAAUUAUAUAAAACAGAAAGUGAUGCCAAAGUGGUGAUUGCAUUAAAUAGCACUAAGCCCAAACAAAGGAAAGGAAACAAACGUAAAGAAAAUGAGAAAAGUCGAUUAUACUUCAUGAUUCAACACGCAAGAAAAAUGUCAAUCCAUUUUUAGCAAGACGACCAUAUAAUAUUUGCCUUGAUAAAACUGCCACUUUGGUUCCAAAAUAAUAUAUUAAUGCUGCCAAGAUACUUCAAAGUUCAAACUAGCAAACUGUGCAUAGUUAGUUACUAACAUUAUCGCAAGGAUUCAGGAAUUAAAUACCACUUUGUACUGACACUAUCUCAGUCACGUAACCUAGAACAGCUCCAAUAGAUGCAUAGCACAAGUGGAAAUAUCCAAAAUACCAGUAACAUCUUCAAGCAAAUGAAAUGCCAACUAAUCAAGAAUAACAAAUGCCAUCAAAUUCCACAUUCAAACAUUACAAUUAAACUUUCA
rnacentral:lncRNA from 1 species